GAUGAACGCUGGCGGCGUGCCUAAUACAUGCAAGUCGAGCGAACAGACGAGGAGCUUGCUCCUCUGACGUUAGCGGCGGACGGGUGAGUAACACGUGGAUAACCUACCUAUAAGACUGGGAUAACUUCGGGAAACCGGAGCUAAUACCGGAUAAUAUAUUGAACCGCAUGGUUCAAUAGUGAAAGACGGUUUUGCUGUCACUUAUAGAUGGAUCCGCGCCGCAUUAGCUAGUUGGUAAGGUAACGGCUUACCAAGGCAACGAUGCGUAGCCGACCUGAGAGAGUGAUAGGCCACACUGGAAGUGAGACACGGACAAGACUACUACGGGAGGCAGCAGUAGGGAAUCUUACGCAAUGGGCGAAAGCCUGACGGAGCAACGCCGCGUGAGUGAUGAAGGUCUUCGGAUCGGAAAACUCUGUUAUUAGGGAAGAACAAAUGUGUAAGUAACUAUGCACGUAUUGACGGUAACUAAUCAGAAAGCCACGGCUAACUACGUG
rnacentral:rRNA from 1 species